UGAUCUCAGCAUCAGUCUCUCUCUACCUCUGGAGGUGGAAUAUCAGGAUAAAAACAGCUACAGCUGUGUGCUCAACAAUCCCAUCAGCAACCAGACUCAACAUCUGGACAUCACUCAGCUCUGUCUCACAUGUUCAGGUUCUUCCACAAGUUAUUAACUGAGCUGAUCUCUGUCUUCUUUUGUAGAUCAGACUGAUUCAAUCACUCACAUUAAUGACUGUCUGUCUUUUACUCUCCUCUAGUCUCAGUGUCUCUGGUUGUACCGAUCUCUGCUGCUGCUGCUGGAUCUUUGUUGAUUGUUGCUGCAGUCGUGAUCUUCUGCAUCUGCAGGAAAUCGCGGACACAGGAGAAAGACAAGACCGAUUCAGCACUGUGCAAAUCAACAACUCGCAAAAAGAAAUUAAAAAAGGAGGCUGUGUAUGAAAAUUUUGCCCCAAAAAGGUGAUCAAAUACUGGGAUCUACUGGAAUAAACCAUGAAAUGUUAUAGAGCUCUUAUAGACCCUGACUAGUUUAUAGCCCUGACAUUUAUUCUGGAUGUUUUUUAUUUUAUUUAUUUUUUUAAUAAAAAUGUUAUGUUAUGCCUGAAAUGUUGCUGCUUUAUGUACUAGUUUAAUGCAUUCAGAAA